GAGUGAAACUCCAAGUGAAUAAAUGAAUUGUGAGUGCAUGAAAAGCCAGGGGAAGGGGCCUGAGCAUCUCCUUCAGGGGUACCUGCCAAGGCGGAGUCCUGGAACCCCUGCCCAGAACUGCUCGUGGAGGGCAUCUGCGUUAGUCCCCUGCUCCCCAGCGCUGCCAGCCCCUGCCUCAGAUCUCUUACCCAACCGCAUCGCUUCCACUUGGCAAGGUAGAUGGCCCAUGUACUGGGAGUACUACAUGGUAGGAUCCCUGGGAGGGUGCCCCUGGGUGUCCUCCUGGAUCUCUUUCUGGUGUGAAAUAGGGCGCUCUCUUGGCUUCUUCAGUUGAACACCUGUGUGACCAGCUCUGUCAUCAGAUAUGUUUUGUAAUUAAAGGCUACUCUGUCCUAAUA